rnacentral:rRNA from 1 species
GCAUAAUAAUUUGCCUCUUAAUUAGAGGCUUGUAUGAAGGAACAAACGAGAGUGUACCGGUUUCAUUUUCUCUUAUAAAAAUUAUCCAUCAGGUGAAUAGACCUGAAUAAUAAAAAAAGACAAAAAGACCCUAUUGAGCUUUACUUAAUCCUUAUUAGACUAAACUUAACAACUUAAAAUCCUAAUAAUUACUGAGUUCUGUUGGGGCGACAAAAGAAGAAAAUAGAUCUUCUUUACCAAAUAAGGCCACAUUCCAUAAAAAAUGAUCCAAAGAUCUUGAUCAAUGAAUCUAGCUACCAUAGGGAUAACAGGCUAAUUUUCUUUAAGAGCCCAUAUUGACAAGAAAGAUUGGCACCUCGAUGUU